rnacentral:rRNA from 1 species
GCAGCGAUAGUGAAACCGCGAAAGGCUCAUUAAAUCAGCUAUGAUUCAAUUGAUGGUACUUAUACGGUUACUUGGAUAACUGUGGCAAUUCUAGAGCUAAUACAUGCAAAACGAGUUCCGACCGCGUCUUCGCGGCGCGGCGACGCGUCCGUCGACGCGGAACGAAUGCUUUUAUUAGAACAAAACCAAUCGGAUCUUUCGGAAGCGGGCCGAGUCCGGCUCGGCGAGAGUCGUCCGUGGCCGGUCCCCGGAAGCCAUCCGCAAAUCCAUGACGAAUCUGGAUAACUUUGAGCUGAUCGCACGGUCUCGAACCGGCGACGCAUCUUUCAAAUGUCUGACUUAUCAACUUUCGAUGGUAGGCUACGCGCCUACCAUGGUGAUAACGGGUGACGGGGAAUCAGGGUUCGAUCCCGGAGAGGGAGCCUGAGAAACGGCUACCACAUCCAAGGAAGGCAGCAGGCGCGCAAAUUACCCACUCCCGGCACGGGGAGGUAGUGACGAAAAAUAACGAUGCAGGACUCUUUAUGAGGCUCUGCAAUCGGAAUGAGUACACUCUAAAUCAUUUAACGAGUAUCCAUUGGAGGGCAAGUCUGGUGCCAGCAGCCGCGGUAAUUCCAGCUCCAAUAGCGUAUAUUAAAGUUGCUGCGGAUAAAAAGCUCGUAGUUUGAUUUGUGUUCCGAGCAGUCGGUACGCCGUUCGUCGGCGGUCAACUGACUCGCGGCGGAACGUCCUGCCGGUUGACGGAGCGGGAGGCGACCGCGCCGCGCGCCGUCGGAUCCGCGAGCGUCGUCAGGCGCGGACGUUUGCCCCGGCGUGGCCUUCUCCGCGGAGCGCUUCGCGUCGCCGUCGGGGGUGAGCGUCGCGGCCUCCGGUUUCCCACGCGAUGCCGGACGUCAAAAAGGCAAGCGCGGGCUCGCGCGGAGCUUCGGUUCCGCGCCGAAGCGCCUCUGCCGUCCGGGUCUCGGCCGGAGGCGAACGCUUUCCACUUUGCCAAACCCGCGGUCUCGACGGGAGCGAUCCGCGUCAACACGGGAAGGCUCAAGCGAAAGCGGCGCCGGGAAUGCGCGGCGUCCCGUCCGCGCUCGCUGUGGCGGCGCAUCAACGGGCGGCCGCCUUUGAGGAUCGCGCGGGCGCGCGCGCGCUCGGCGAAUUCGUCCCGUCGGGCGGAUUCGCGGACGCGCCCGCCGCGCGACUCCGCUGCGUCCGUCAGUCUUUUUCAUCCUGAGUAAAAAUCCCGUCGCGGCGCUCUUAGCCGAGUGACGCGCCGGGCCGGCACGUUUACUUUGAACAAAACUGAGUGCUUAAAGCAGGCCGAACCUCAGCGCCUGAAAGUCGGAUGCAUGGAAUAAUGGAAUAGGGCCUCGGUUCUAUUUUGUUGGUUUUCGGAAUUCCCGAGGCAAUGAUUAAUGGGGACAGGCGGGGCAUUAGUAUUGCGGCGUUAGAGGUGAAAUUCUUGGAUCGUCGCAAGACUAACCUAAGCGAAAGCAUUUGCCAAGGAUGUUUUCCUUAAUCAAGAACGAAAGUUGGAGGUUCGAAGGCGAUCAGAUACCGCCCUAGUUCUUACCGUAAACCAUGCCGGCUAGCGAUCCGUCGAUGUUCGUUCAGAUGAUUCGGCGGGCAGCUUGAGGGAAACCAAAGCCUUCGGGUUCCGGGGGAAGUAUGGUUGCAAAGCUGAAACUUAAAGGAAUUGACGGAAGGGCACCACCAGGAGUGGAGCUUGCGGCUUAAUUUGACUCAACACGGGAAACCUCACCAGGCCCGGGCACCGGAAGGAUUGACAGAUCAAGAGCUCUUUCUUGAUUCGGUGGGUGGUGGUGCAUGGCCGUUCUUAGUUGGUGGAGCGAUUUGUCUGGUUAAUUCCGAUAACGAACGAGACUCUAGCCUGUUAACUAGGCGACGAUCCGGUUCGCCCUCCGCGGCGGCCGGAUCAUCCGGCAUGGAACGGCGGCCGCGGGAGGCGCGGCGUCUCGCGCGCCCGCGUCCUUUCGCGCCGCCUUCAAGCACUGCCGGCGACGGAAGAUUCUUCUUAGAGGGACAAGCGGCUUCUAGCCGCGCGAGAUUGAGCAAUAACAGGUCUGUGAUGCCCUUAGAUGUUCUGGGCCGCACGCGUGCUACACUGAAGGAAUCAACGUGCACGACGAAUCCUAGGCCGAGAGGUCCGGGGAAUCCGUUGAAUUUCCUUCGUGAUAGGGAUCGGGGCUUGCAAUUGUUUCCCGUGAACUAGGAAUUCCCAGUAAGCGCGAGUCAUAAGCUCGCGUUGAUUACGUCCCUGCCCUUUGUACACACCGCCCGUCGCUACUACCGAUCGAACGAUUUAGUGAGGUCUUUGGACUCGUGCGCGGUGUUUCGUACGCGGUCCCGUCGAGCGCGGGAUCGCGCGAUCCUUCGCAGCCGCGAGGAAGACGACCAAACUUAAUCG